ensembl:lncRNA
UGCAAAGCAGCAAGUUGAUCUCUAACUUGCUCCCACUAAUAGCUGGAAUACUACAGACAGAUUGUAAACACACAACUUUCACAGCAGGGGUGUGCUAUUGCUGCUUUUACUCUGCCAUAGGAGUUGGCACAAGAUAAACAGUUUCUUCUGCAGGUAUCAACUGCGAUCAAGAUGGGCAAUGAGCAUUCUAAAAACAAGGCUGAGCAGGCUCCAGAAAAGCCCCUGCAUGGAGGAUUGAAUGGCCAUGCUGUAAGCAUCUCAUCCAAUGGCCUGGAGAAUGUUAUCAGUGAAGCAGCUGUGGAGCAGAACAGUAUGCCUCCCUCACUGCCUCCCUCUGAAGAGUCAGGUAUAGUGGAGGCAGAUGGCAGUGGUCUUGGGCCUGUGGUGGUGGAACAGAAGUCUGCCAUCAAGGAGGUUCCAGAAGUGGAACCAGAGACACAGAAUGCUAAGACUCAAAACACACCGGAACCAGAACUGGAACCAGCCACCCAAGAGAAGGAGGAGCCCAAGAACAGUACGAAAGAAAAAGUGAACAUCUUUGAAAAUCUGUUCAAGAAGAAAGCUAAGCCUCAACCCACCCCCAACCCGGAUCCAGCCCUGGAAAAGGAGGAAACCAUAAAGGACAAGAUUGUGGAGGAGAUUGAAAGUUCUGCAGAAGAUCAGAAAGUCCCUGUGGCUGUGACCGAUGGGAUCCAAGCUGAGCCACUUGCUGAGGUAAAGGAGGAUACAGAGACUUCAAAGGAGCGUCCCAACCCUAGUCCAGAGGCAGAGGAGGUCAAAAGCCCCAAAAUUGCAGAGGAAAGCAGUCACAUUCAGGAAAACCAAGAGGGAGAGAGUCAAACAGAAGAGAAUCCAGUUAUGAACUUCUUCAAAACACUAAAAGAGGCCCAACCAACAACAACAACUACUGCUGCACAACUAGUGGAUGCUCCAGCAACAGCCAAAGGAGGAAUGUCAAUCCCACCAGCCCCAGCCCCAGCCCCAUCCCCAGCCCCAGCCCCAGCCCCAGCCCCAGCCCCAGCCCCAGCCCCAUCCCCAGCCCCAGCCCCAGCCCCAGCCCCAGCCCCAGCCCUAGGCUCAUGUAAGAUGGAGGUUAAAGCAGAACUAGCUGCCCAAUCUGUGACCAACACACCAAACGAAGAACCAAAGGGUGCUGCCAAAGAACCAGAGGCCGCCAAGCCGAAAUCUGACCGCCCGUUCAGCAGACUUUUCAGCAGAAAGGUAAGCCAACUCCUGUAGAACAAGGCACUUAGAAGCAUUCUUUGGCAGCAGAUAAUAUUUUGUAAAAGAGAACAUAAAACAUAAAUGUGUGUCAGAUUGUAACAGUUUGAUGUGAAUUUGAGGCACUGAUAGGCCUCAAGUCUAAAAUCAAGGUUAAGUCAACAAGUGGAGCCAGAGCCCCUGCCAAGCCUGCUGCAGCGGUAUGACAAUACAACAUUCAGCCAUUUUGAAACUAACAGAGUUAAGCUCACUGUGACAUCCUUCAUUUCCUUUAACUGUAUUCAAAUCAUUGCAUCUUGUGGGUACAAUAUCUACCAGCUACAUCACACAGACUGCUGCCCUUUCUCUUGAGCAGAGCAUCAAUACAGAUAUCAAACAAAACAGUCUCUCAGAGCAGUCCCUCAGAGCAUUCCUGUAAAUGUAAAUCUAUCCCGAUACUUCCAGUGACAUAAUGUGACAUUCCAUAGAGUUUUAUUGCUUAUGUUUUUCUCAAUGUGGAAUCAACACACUUUAGAUAGUGCUGCAUUUAGCUGGACUGAUGGCAUGACUUGUGGAGAAUGGGCUGAGGUCUGCAUCUCUUCAUUCAUCAUCUGUGAACAUAAAUAGCAUAACAGCAUCCCAAACAACAUCAGAAAUCCAACAAAAUCUAAUUCAGUCAUUUUAACCCAACGAAACAGCAGACCAAGUAUUAAUUUCAUACAGAAACUGAAUUACAUUUUCAUUCGGACUGUAUGUGUUCAUACAGAAACUGAAUUACAUUUUCAUUCGGACUGUAUGUGUUCAUACAGAAACUGAAUUACAUUUUCAUUCGGACUGUAUGUGUUCAUACAGAAACUGAAUUACAUUUUCAUUCGGACUGUAUGUGUUCAUACAGAAACUGAAUUACAUUUUCAUUCUGACUGUAUGUGUUCAUACAGAAACUGAAUUACAUUUUCAUUCUGACUGUAUGUGUUCAUACAGAAACUGAAUUACAUUUUCAUUCUGACUGUAUGUGUGCAUGUGCGACUUUGUGUCUUUAUUUGUGUGGUGAACUGUGCUUCUACACACCUAUCCGUGCCUUGCCAUGCAGCCCAUAAAGUAGAAGGUCUAGUUAUAUGGCACAUGUUCAAAUUAACAUCGUUCUGCUCUCCUGUAGACAGUGGAACCAGUGGAGCCACAGCCGGUUGUGGAAGUACAGACAGUGGAACCAGUGGAGCCACAACCGGUUGUGGAAGUACAGAAUGUAGACUUCUCAAAGACGGCCACUCUGGAGGCCUCUGCCACACUAGAACCACCACCACCAGAGGAAGAGAAGACACCUGCUGCCUCCAAAGCCUCUCCUUUCACUUCCUUUUCUCUUUUCAAGACAAAGGCAGCUGUGCCAAAAAAGGAAGUCCCUGCCCUAGCUGCAGAAGCGGUAGUUGAACCAAGUGUAGCCAAGGACGAACCAAAGGCCCCAGAGGACCCUGCUGUGGACAGCAAGCCCGUGUCAGAGCCCUCCGAGGUUAUGGAGAAUUCCCCCGUCCUCCCUAAGAGACUGGAGAAGAGGAACUCCAUCCACUUGUUCUUCAAAAACCUGGGCAAACGCCAGUCAGAUGCAGGAGUACAAACAGAACCAGAGAAGACCAAAUAAAACAGAAACACCCUUUCAAACAUCACAUGCCAUAUCUGGAAAUGAACUUUUGAUUUGUUAGAUACAUUAUGUUUCUGAUCACACUAUUGAUGUGGUAAGAGCAAGUGGUUUGAGGGAGAGAGGUGGACUGUGGACUAGUCUGUUCUAGUCUAAUCUUUGUGGACAAUUUCAGAGAAUUGUUCUUUGUGGAGGAGGUAAAUAUAUUUUCUGGUUUUAAAGGCUUGAUAGGUAGAGAAAAGUGGUUUUGUAACAUAUACUGAGAGCAAAAUCAAUUUUCUAUACAGUAUGUACCCUUCUUUUAACAUACAUGUCAAACUCAUUCCACGGAGGGCUGAGUGUCUGCUGGUUUUUGUUCCUCCCUUGAUUGAUUAAUUAAGGUCACUAAUUAGUAAAGAACUCCCCUCACCUGGUUGUCUAAGGUCUUAAAAACGAAACACUCGCAGACACUAAGCCCUUCAUGGAAUGAGUUUGACAUCCCUGCUUUAACAUAUUAAUGUGUAAGGAUCUAAUGCAAAUAUUACGUUUAGCAUAUUUUUUUCCCUCUAUACGCAAUUUACUAGUCUGAAAAUAACUUGUGGAGUGCAUACAAUGGUUUCAGAUACAUUCAUAGGACGUCUUGGAGAAGAGAUGCAUAAAGCUUAGCUUGGAAUAGAGAGAUAGUAAUGGAAUAUACUCCAAAUGUAAUGGAGGAGUUGGUGAAAUGGUGGAUAUUCCUGCCAAGAUGUUUUUAUUUAGGCUAGACACAUGCAACUUACAAUGUAGGCUUUAAACUUUGCAGGAACUGUACACGGAUGCAAAUAUAUGCCAAACACUAAAUUACAAUAUAUGAUUAUAAUCAUACACAGGGGGACCUCACAAUCAUUACUUUUUUUGGGAACUACACAGAUCAUCUGGUAGUCUAUAUAGCUAACUGCACAGUCAUGAAUCAUAUUUGAUUAACGUUUCACUGAAGUAUAAAGGUUUGUUCUAAUUUGAGUGCACUGCUUUACAUGUGUGUGCCUGUUUGAAUGCAGAUGUUAUAAUCUUGGGUAUCUUGUCUGUUAAUUUCUGCACCUAUAAUUUGAUAAACUGGAUCUGGAAGUAGAAUAUUUAUUGUGACAGCAAUUUCCGAAUCAUGACAACCUGCAAUGGGGUAUAUGGGGGGGUUCUACUGAGCUAACAUGGAUUUUUUUUUAAAGAUCAUACCAUGGAUCCUUUAGCUAUUUAAUUUUUCAUUGGGGUAAAAUAUUGAAUUUGGCCUUUUAAUGCUACAACCUAUAGAAAUGCAUUGAAUAACACACUCAUAAAUGGCAAAACAGAGUACAAAAAUAAAUAAUAAGGAAUAUGUUUUUGAAUUGUCUGUCCUACAUCUAGGAGAUGUAAUAAAGUUCAGGAUUUACACAUUUAACCCAUUUUUUGGGGUGUCACAAAACUACUUCUAUAUUUGUUUUUAUGUUAAUUAGAUUGACGCACGGGUGCGUUGAUCAACUUUAGGGGUAUUUAAAGCUAUUUUUUUCUGUAACUGUUAAGAGAAUAAAUGUAUACAAUUA